rfam:Camelus ferus unplaced genomic scaffold scaffold246, whole genome shotgun sequence.
GGUAAUAGCUCAGUGCUAGAGCACCUGCUUAGCAUGCGCGAGGUCCUGGGUUCAAUUCCCAGAACCU